rnacentral:rRNA from 1 species
UGCGUAGGCGGCUACGUGUGUCAGAGGUGAAAGCUCACGGCUCAACCGUGGAAUUGCCUUUGAAACUGCGUAGCUUGAGUCCAAGAAAGGAUGAUGGAAUUCCUGGUGUAACGGUGAAAUGUGCAGAUAUCAGGAAGAACACCGGUGGCGAAGGCGGUCAUCUGGCUCGGUACUGACGCUGAGGCACGAAAGCUAGGGUAUCGAACG